rnacentral:lncRNA from 1 species
UCAUAACAUACAGAAUAUGUAUUAAUUAACUGUGUAUGUUAUCAGCAAGGCUUCUGGUCAACAGUCGGCUAUUAGUAGUUAGGUUUUGGGGAGUCAAAGUCAUAUGCAGAUUUUCAACUGCACGGAGUUUGGUAUCUCUAACCUCUGCAUUGUUUAAGUCAACUGUAUACCCACCCCUCACUUUACAAAAUUUCAAUUUAUAAUUUUUCAAUUUCGCAAAGAUUUCAAAUAGAAAUGAACAUUAAUGUUAAUGAUACACAUAUUGUUAGGUACUACGGAUAUUGUGAUUACAUGUUGACGGUGAGUUUAAUAUUUAAUAUUUAUUAAGUAUUUAGUUGGCAACAGGCAUUGUUCUUGGCAGGCACUUUACAUGAUUUCAUUUUGUCCCCACAAGUGACCAGGAUUUCCAUUUGCAGAUAUGGAAAUCAAGGUCUUCUAAUUUGCCCCAAGUCAGAGAGCUCUCAGAGACUAUUUGGGCAAGAGUAUUUAUUUAUUUGUAGGCUUUGGAGAGGGAAUGCUUUAUAAUCUUGUUUCCAGUCUCCUUCCACCACCUCUAAGCCUGUCUCCCAUGUGCAUAAAUCAUUCUGGCUACACCCAAGAAAUCAGGUUUGUCCUACAGUCCAUACUCCAUUCCAUGAUUUGUAUUCGAAGUGCUGUUUUAUAACUAUUACCCAGUGGGAUCCGGCAAUGUUUUGUAUAAAUAUACUCAGUGCCCACCUACAACCAAACACUGGCUGUUCCAUAAAUAUUUGAGGAAAUGAAAUUCUAAGUAGUGUCAUGACCACACUUUUCCAAAUAUUUAAAUUUCACCUUUUCUCUCAUCAGAUUUCUCCUCUGAGUUUGAGUGCAGAUGCAAAAUGUUAGAUUUCUUUGUAUUUAAAACUAAGGUAGAAAAUUUGAAUUACAGUGGAUUUAAAUUCAAUGGGUCAUGGAAAAAUGCCCAAUAUUUAACAGAGAUUUCGAGUCUCAAUAAUAGUAAGCAUUAGCUUUACUUAUAGAUUUUAUUUAAUAUAUUUCAGUAUUACAAAAAAAAAGAGAGAGAGAGAGAGAGAAGGUAUAUAAAACUGAAUUCAAGGUUUAAGUCCUUAGAAAAACUGGUAGCGCAAGUGAUGUAGUUCUUAGACUUCCCAGCAGGGGCCAGAAUGUUCAUAUUAAAUCUAAUUAAUGAAACUUUUUCCUCUAAUUAAAGGUGGUAUCUAAUUUUUAAACCAAUACCCAAAAGAAGUCAACUAGAACUUUCUAUGGUUAAAAUUACUAAAAACUACUGACUUACUAAUUUGAAAUUUCAAGAAUGUAAGUAUAUAAUUCAAAAUAUUGAAAAUGAGUUUAACAGAAAUAGUGACAUCCUCUAACAAAAGGCUGACCCCCAGUAUCUGAGCAAAUGAACAUUCAAAGUAUGUUUAGUUAGUAGACACUAAAACUCCUAUACUAAUUGCCAAAUACAGGUCAUUGGGUCUUUCAGUUGCCAAGCCAGACCAUGGACCGGUUCCAAGAACAAAGGGCACCACUGUGGCAUUGACCCAGGAAAUUGAGCACUGACCUUAUUUGUUAAUUUUAGAACAUUAAAAAAAAAUUCUAACUCAAUAUAAAAGAAGUACUUGGUGCUUCAAAAGUAUUUCAAGACAAAUUGCCUUUGUAAAUCAGAUAAGCUUUUUAAAAUUUAAUUCUAAUUUAAGUAAUGUAACCUUUCUCUGGGCCCCAGUUUUUCCAUCUAUUCAUAAACAGAUUAGAUAUAAUAAUCUUAAAAUUUUUAUGUUUCUAAAAUUCAGAGUUUUUUUCCUUAGGCAAAAAGCAUCAUUUUCCCCCUUGUUUCCAAUUCCUGGCAUUGUAUCCAUCAUAUAUCAGACGCUAAUACAUGAUCAAUGAACAAAUAAAUGAACAAAUGACCAAAUGAAUACAUUUUUUUGAAGAGUUCUUUCUAGGAAUUUACAAAAGAAUCUGGAAACAGAAUGCUUCUGAAAGCCAAUACUCCAUGAAUUAUGGAAAAAAUGCUUUAGGCAAUUCCAAAAAAAUAAGAAAACAUUUUCUGAAUACUCUUGAACUGAAUUUUUCUAAGGCUAUCACUACUUCUAAGACACCAACUGAAUAAAAAAGGAACUAAAAAUUUUUUAAGUGUUUUAAGACUUUACAUUUUAAAACCUAAGUCUGAAAAAGUCAAAUUAUUUUUUUAUUUCCAGAAACAUGCUCUUUAUUGACCUUAUUAUGGUUUCUAAAGGUGCCCCAAAACAACACCAUGAACAUUGCAAGAUUUUUCUCUCAGGAAGCAGUUGUUUACUAGAAAGCUUCACUCAAUAAUAAAGGUAAAGAUUUUAAAACUAAAGACAGGUCUUUGCCAGUUUAAUCUAUCUUGUCGUCUGGUCUGGAAACCAUGUGUUUGCUCUAAAGUAAAUAAAAACAUCGUGGAGGAAAGCAGUUAUCAAAAAUAAUGAAAAUUAACUUCUUAUACAUACUAUGUUUCUCAUUUGUGAAUUUUAAAACUCUGACUUCAUUAAAUUUUGUAGGUGGAAGUUUGUGCCUUCUUAAUCCAGGGAGGUGGGCAACGUGCGGAAGCGUAGGCUGACCACGAGGGUGUGGACUGUAGUGAACUGGAGAGCCCCACUGAGGCCUGGUAUAACUUACAUCGGGCUGUUUGAAACAUUCCUACGUGCUGUCUCACUGCAUGUGCAUUCAACAUAAACAGAAAAUUUAGCUCCCGUAAAAAGGGAUAAAUUUGUGACAGACUUUUUCCGAACUAAGCCACUGUCUUCAGGCAAAGAAUUUAAGUAGCUAUGCUUCUUUAGGAAAUUGUUUGGGUCAGGUUCUCAAGCUUGAAUGAUGGAAAGAUACCUUUCAAAGGAAAAACAAAAAAACAAAAAAACAUUCUUGAGACCUGCCAUGAAUCAAAGUUAACCCCUAUUACCUUAGGUGGCACUUGAUUAUAGUAAAACUCAACUGUAAAUACUGUAUUUGCAGACUGUAGAAAAUGAAGACACGGAGGUAGUAUUCAGAUGCAAGGUGGCUAUAUGAAUGCCCUAAAAUAUGCAUGGAGAAUUAAGUGUCAUGGAAUUAUUGAUGGAAUUCACAGAUGCCCCUGGGAGCUAAGGAACUUUUUAAGAUAAUAUUCUGGGACAUAGGUUGACUUGCAGCCCACCUCGGCUGUCUGCUCACAGAGCUAUGCCUCUCUAGGUAAAACUGAAGGGAUAAACUCUAUCCCAGUUCUGGGGGAAAGCUCCUUCCUGUUCAAAUAAAGAAGAAAGCAGGUAGAGAAGGAUCACGGAGAAACUUAGUAAUUUACAGAAAAGAAUGCAAAGGAGAAGGUGAAGACAUAUACUCAGUUCUCAGUUCUCUCCAAGGCAACAAGGAUGGUUCUACCUUUGACUUGCUUAAACACACACACACACACUGCUCUUUUGAGGUUUCUUUUCUCUUUUCUGACUACCUUUGAUGCUCCUGAAAAUCAGUUUGACCUGAAUAUGACCUGUGCUGGGUAAGGGUCCUGAUCUUAUUUUUUAUUUUUAUUUUUUUAGUAGGUUCCAUGCCUGGCCUAACGCAGGGCUUAAGUUCCAGCUCUGAGAUCAAUAUCUAAGCUGAGAUCAAGAGUCAGACACUUAGCUGACUGAGCCACCAGGAGGCCCUGGCCUUAAGGUCUUCAAUAGCGGUGUCAGAUGCAACAUGGCCAUGGCCACUCCUUAGCAAGGUCCUCAUUACGUGUCUAUGGGAAGCCAUAAUCGUUAAAUGCAAAAGCUCUACUGGAAUGUUCAAAAUGCUCAUUGCUCUACCAGAGAACUAACUACCAGAGGUGGAAAGACACAGGGACUUGUGACACCAGCCUCCCCUACCAGUUUGUGUAAGAGGGACCCCAGGAGAAAUAUCAUAAACCAUAGUCAGAGCAAACUAAAAACACAACCAGAGUCACUUAGGCUAUAAAUAACUACCUAUAUCUCGUGAAAAAUUGGGAGGUUGAAGUUUCUUGUAGUUAAGGAGACAUUCAUCCAUUUAUUACUUUAAUUACUAAGGCAAUACCCUUUUCCAACCUAAAUAUGUGCUAGGUGUUGGACCAAGAGCUAAAGACACAAAAAUGAACAAAAUAAUUCCUGCCUUUAAAGUGCUCAUAGUGCUCUGCGGGAUGGAGGAUAGAGGCAGGGAGACAAGCAAGGGGAAAAAAGCAAGCAACUGAAAAUAGUAAUGAUAGAUGUGGGCAUAACAUAGACACUAUUAGCACUGAGUCUCUGAGUCAGGCAUCUUUUUUUCCAAUGGAAAAAUGAGGAAGCUAAAUUAUAACUAUUUUGAUUCUUUGUAUUUCAAAUUUAUAAUAAAUAUAAAUUUAUUUAUUUAUUUAUUAUAUAUAAUAUAUAUAAAAUAAAUAACAUAUAAUAAUAUAUAUAAAAUAAAUAAUAUAUAAAAUAAAUAUAUAUAAAUAUAAAUAAAUAUAUAUUAUAUUAUAAAUUUAUUACAAGGGAUCCCUGGGUGGCGCAGCGGUUUGGCGCCUGCCUUUGGCCCAGGGCGCGAUCCUGGAGACCCGGGAUCGAAUCCCACAUCGGGCUCCCG